rnacentral:rRNA from 1 species
GACGAACGCUGGCGGCGUGCUUAACACAUGCAAGUCGAACGGAAAGGCCCUGCUUUUGUGGGGUGCUCGAGUGGCGAACGGGUGAGUAACACGUGAGUAACCUGCCCUUGACUUUGGGAUAACUUCAGGAAACUGGGGCUAAUACCGGAUAGGAGCUCCUGCUGCAUGGUUGGGGUUGGAAAGUUUCGGCGGUUGGGGAUGGACUCGCGGCUUAUCAGCUUGUUGGUGGGGUAGUGGCUUACCAAGGCUUUGACGGGUAGCCGGCCUGAGAGGGUGACCGGCCACAUUGGGACUGAGAUACGGCCCAGACUCCUACGGGAGGCAGCAGUGGGGAAUAUUGCAAAAUGGGCGGAAGCCUGAUGCAGCAACGCCGCGUGCGGGAUGACGGCCUUCGGGUUGUAAACCGCUUUCGCCUGUGACGAAGCGUGAGUGACGGUAAUGGGUAAAGAAGCACCGGCUAACUACGUG